rnacentral:rRNA from 1 species
GAUGAACGCUGGCGGCGUGCCUAAUACAUGCCAGUCGAGCGGACAGACGAUGCUCUUGCUCCUCUGACGUUAGCGGCGGACGGGUGAGUAACACGUGGAUAACCUACCUAUAAGACUGGGAUAACUUCGAGAAACCGGAGCUAAUACCGGAUAAUAUAUUGAACCGCAUGGUUCAAUAGUGAAAUACGGUUUUGCUGUCACUUCUAGAUGGAUCCGCGCCGCAUUAGCUAGUUGGUAAGGUAACGGCUUACCAAGGCAACGAUGCGUAGCCGACCUGAGAGGGUGAUCGGCCACACUGGAGGUGAGACACGGUCCAGAGUCCUACGGGAGGCAGCAGUAGGGAAUCUUCCGCAAUGGGCGGAAGCCUGACGGAGCGGCGCCACGUGAGUGAUGAAGGUCUUCGGAUCGGAAAACUCUGUUAUUGGGGAAGAACAAAUGUGUAAGUAACUAUGCACGUCUUGACGGUACCUAAUCAGAAAGCCACGGCUAACUACGUG